rnacentral:misc_RNA from 1 species
UCCUCCCUCAAACCCCCCGGGUUUGGUGUUGGACCGCGUUGGGGGGUCCGUCCUCCCAACUGGUCUCAAAGACAAUGACGGCGUCCGUGGGACCCUCUUCGCACUGAGCUUUCCGGAGCACGCGUUGAGUUGCAAGGUCUCAUGGGCCCGGCCACCUCGUGAAAACGAACAAUUUUUCUCA